rnacentral:rRNA from 1 species
GAUCCUGGCUCAGGAUGAACGCUAGCUACGGGCUUAACACAUGCAAGUCGAGGGGCAGCGGGAAGUCAGCUUGCUGACUUUGCCGGCGACCGGCGCACGGGUGAGUAACACGUAUCCAACCUUCCCGUUACUCUGGAAUAGCCUUUCGAAAGAAAGAUUAAUACCGGAUAGUAUCGAGAGAUUGCAUGAUAACCCGAUUAAAGAUUCAUCGGUAACGGAUGGGGAUGCGUUCCAUUAGGCAGUUGGCGGGGG